UGAACAAAUCCUGAUUUUAAUGUUUGUUUAUUAUUAUAUAUUAUUAUUAUUAUUUUUUUUCGGUUUGUUUCUUCCAGAUUAUUUCAUCCAUUGCCGAGAUUUAUAGAUGAAUCGCAAAAGGAGCUCAAAUUCAGUUGCUAUAUGAGGGAGGCUAUAAGAAUGUAUAGUUUGACAUCAAAAGCCCCGGCCACCAUCAUAAGCAUUCAAUAGCGGUUUUAUGUUUUUGAAUAAGAUUAAUAUUACAACACUCUCAUCUGGUUGUUCAUCCAAGUUCGGGAAUUAAUUUGGCUGCAAUGGUACCCUUUGGUGUCUCAUCUAACCCACCUGAUGGUAAACAUUGUCCUUUUGUUCUUAUGAAGGUCCUUGAAUUGGAAAUUUGACAUAGAUUUUAAAAGGACACUUCUUGAGGGCCAGUGAGGAGUAUGCAAUCAAAAAAUUUGGGAGCCUAUUUCUAAGCAGGGAGAGAUCAGCAGAGGAGUAUAACUUUGGUGGUCCAAGUCAAGCUUAUGGUCUAGAACAAAAACGAGAGUGAAUAUCUGGUGUGUAUGGUAUGAAUUGGGUGGUGCAGCUUCUCUGGUGCCGGCCACGAGAUUUGAUCUUUACUGAAGCACCAGUCCAAGUAGAUGUGAAUGAAUUAUAACUAACAUAUAUAUACUACUUUAAUAUGAUCAAACGCAACAAAAGAGAUCUAAAAACUAUAUCAUCACUCUUUCUGAAGUA